GACGAACGCUGGCGGCGUGCUUAACACAUGCAAGUCGAACGGAAAGGCCCUGCUUUUGUGGGGUGCUCGAGUGGCGAACGGGUGAGUAACACGUGAGUAACCUGCCCUUGACUUUGGGAUAACUUCAGGAAACUGGGGCUAAUACCGGAUAGGAGCUCCUGCUGCAUGGUGGGGGUUGGAAAGUUUCGGCGGUUGGGGAUGGACUCGCGGCUUAUCAGCUUGUUGGUGGGGUAGUGGCUUACCAAGGCUUUGACGGGUAGCCGGCCUGAGAGGGUGGCCGGCGACAAUGGGACUGAGAGACGGCCCAGACGGGUAUGUGAGGCAGCAGUGGGGAAUAUUACGCAGUGGGCGGGAGUCUGAUGCAGAAGCGCCGCGUGCGGAAUGCCGUCCUACGGGUUGUAAACCGCUUUCGCCUGUGACGAAGCGUGAGUGACGGUAAUGGGUAAAGAAGCACCGGCUAACUACGUG
rnacentral:rRNA from 1 species